rnacentral:rRNA from 1 species
AUUGAACGCUGGCGGCAUGCCUUACACAUGCAAGUCGAACGGUAACAGGUUAAGCUGACGAGUGGCGAACGGGUGAGUAAUGUAUCGGAACGUGCCCAGUCGUGGGGGAUAACUACUCGUAAGAGUGGCUAAUACCGCAUACGACCUGAGGGUGAAAGCGGGGGACCGUAAGGCCUCGCGCGAUUGGAGCGGCCGAUAUCAGAUUAGCUAGUUGGUGGGGUAAAAGCCCAUCAAGGCGACGAUCUGUAGCUGGUCUGAGAGGACGACCAGCCACACUGGGACUGAGACACGGCCCAGACUCCUACGGGAGGCAGCAGUGGGGAAUUUUGGACAAUGGACGCAAGUCUGAUCCAGCCAUGCCGCGUGCGGGAAGAAGGCCUUCGGGUUGUAAACCGCUUUUGUCAGGGAAGAAACGAGUUUCUCUAAUACAGAGACUUAAUGACGGUACCUGAAGAAUAAGCACCGGCUAACUACGUGCCAGCCGCCGCAGUAAAAC